rnacentral:SRP_RNA from 1 species
GCCAGGCAUAGUGGCGCAUGCCUGUAAUCCCAGCUACUCGGGAGGCUGAGGCAUGAGAAUUGCUUGAACCCAGGAGGUAGAGGCUGCAGUGAGCCGAGAUUGCACCACUGCACUCCAUCCUGGGGGACAGAGUGAGACCCUGUCUCAA